CUUGCGCCCCGGCCUGAGUGAAGCUCUUUUUUGUGCAGCGCAGCGGAACAAAAAAAGCGGGAACGGAGGACGGAAAAGGCG
rnacentral:misc_RNA from 1 species